GCUUUUCCCAAUUAUGCUAAAAAAUUUGCCUAUUAUGCUAUUCUUUUAUGCCAGGAAGGUCCACCUAUUAUUCUUCGACUGUUAGUAUGUUACCUAUUAUUCUUUGACUGUCACCUAUUAUUCCAAUAGAUUUUUCGGAAAAUGAAUCAUUAAAAAAGUGUGUGAGACAGUGUUUACAAAAAGAAAAAGCUAUUUUCUGUUAUUAUAUUGUAGCAUUACAGAUGCACAUAAUUAUAUAGUCUUGAAGAGAAUGGGUUUGUUUCUUAUUAAAAGAACUUUCCAAAAUAGAGAAAACUCUUUCGUGACGACUCAUCAUUUUCCUCAGCAGUAAGCAUGCGCAGUAGAUGACCCUGCCCACAUUUCCAUUGAAUGACAUCACUUACCACGGCCCUUUAUGUUAAACCACGCCUCUUUAAGUAAAACCACACCUCCAAAUUUAUUUUGUUCACCUGGAAUAAUGCUCAAUGCUAAUGGAGCUCAAAAUGGUCCCUAUUAUUCCAAAAUUAUGCCAGCAUAAUUGGGAAAAGCCUACAUAAGAACUACCUGUCCAUUUUCUUGAUCAUGGGUGCAGCACAAAAGAAUCACGGGAGAUGUCAGAAUAGAGAAGAUCACAGUGGCAAUAAUUGUCCAAAUGAUGCAGCAUGAAAGUUGGUCAAUGUAAACAGUAUAGUUGCAUCCAUAAUUAUGACUCAGAAGCAUACAGUACAGUUCGAUUUUGGUCUGGUUGUCGAAUGUUGAAAUCAAUUUGAUGGCUGAUAGGGUUCACAGCUAUCCAUCUCUCAUUCUCUCCCUCUGCCCGGGGAGGAACACACACUAUGGCUCUGAGACCAUCCUUAGCUGCAGCAAAAUGGUCUGGAGCUGUAAUCUGGCUUAACGCUAACUACAUUCUCUUUUAUUCCUCAGUUAGAAUCCGAGUAGCUACAGAUGACUCUGUUGAUCUCCAUUGGCUCAUCCUAACUUAAAAUAAUUAUGGUUCGACACCAAGCGUUUCCACUAAUUUCAAUGUCAUGAGCCAAAAAUCCCGGUGUAAUUUCCUGUUUACAAUGUAGGCACAAACUUACAAUGCUACAUUAUAUGAGAUUUCCUGUUUGAGAUAAUAAGGAAAGUUUUUGGGAUUUAUUUGGGUUUAACUUAUAUAUACACUAAGCCCAGCAGCGUGUUUUAAUAGCAUAGUUUCCUGUUUAUAUAAUUUAGGUACAAGAUCAAAUAACAUAUAGUAAGUUGUAGAUAAAACAUUUACUCUGUUUCCGAAUAUUUUGCUGGUGAAAAACCUUGAGUCAAAUUGCAAAGAUCGUGUGUAAUUACCAGUACUAUAUAUGAUUAAGGUUUGCGAAUUGAUCAAUGCUCGCAACAUUUGCAUAAUUAUAUUUGAUGCUAUGCUCAAGAACAGUUCUACAUUCAUAGAAAUGCUCCUUAAGUGUUGGUAAACUAAAGUACUCUCUGUUGUAACUCUAUAUACUAUCAGUUGCCAGACAAAUGGGGGAUGGGGGAUCGAUGAGGGAUGGGAAUUGGCACCUACAUGUACUUGUAUACUUAAUACUGUCAAUACAGCUGUUCUUGUGGCUCCCCUCCUGCGAUUUUGAAUGGAUCCUCUACCUACCUGCUGAAAUAUUCACAUGUGUGGAGACUGUGACCUACAUAUGAUACUGGCUAUGAGGUGAAGUUGGGAUCAGCUAUUGUGAUCUCUUUACCAUGCAGCUUGUACAGGUUCUAAUUUUGUAAAUACUUACAUCUAAGUUUUUAUAACUUCCAAUUUAUCCAUUGACUUCUAUACAUUUGGGGAAAUGGCCAUGAUAUUGGUUUCAUUCUGACUGGUUUACAAACAUGGGAGCCUGUUUGCAUUGCAGUUGUCUCUUGUGGAGCACCUCAAAUAGUUAAAGAAGGAUGUAGUAAUUUCAUUGGCACCACAUUUGGAGAGACAGCUACUUACAGCUGCGAUAAUGGCUACUAUAUUUCUGGUUUCAACCGUAGUAAUCUGUCGGGCAGAUGGGAAAUGGGAUACUGAGCCUGAGUGCUUGCUUGCAGCUUUCUCGUGUGGUUUUCCUCCCAUUAUCUUCAAUGGAUCCCCUGGUAGACCAACUUCCGUACUAACUGGUGGAACAACUACAUAUACUUGCGAUCAUGGAUUCAUCCUAAUCGGCUUGAGCAAAGUUACUUGUUUGUCGACUAGUAUGUGGACAACACCACCUAAAUUCCAAAGUAUAUACGAAUACCAAACAAUGAAAGUUUGAUGAAAAGCAUUGAAGAAUGCAAUUAAAAUUGAGUGCAUGUACUAAUUGCAUCAACAUCUAUACACACUCAGGUCCUCCCCCUGUUUACUUAUCGCUUUUCUCCGCUUGUCUACUUUCCCGGAAAUCCCCCUAUCCUCUGUAGGAGAGGGGAAGAAUAAUUCCCUUGUCUGUCAUACUGACCUGGCCGCUUGUUGCUCACAGCUGGAUUCAGGAGUGGAGGGUGGUCUAGGAGAGUGGCAUUAUCCAAACGGGACAGUUGUAGUGACAGAUAAACUACGG